rnacentral:lncRNA from 1 species
GAAGUCCAUUCGGUUGAGAGGACUAAAGUUCUCAAGUUUUUCUUUGUAUGUACAUAGCUCUCAAAGUUAAGAACGCCGUUGCAAAUCUUGUCCUGGCCGGUUUCACCAAAUUUCUUUCCUUGGUGAAUUUUCUCAUCAAGUUUAACAACAAUGGCCUUUGACUAAUGUAAGAAUGGAUUCUGAUGGCCUUCUUAAAAACUGUUAAGGUAAGAUUAUAGUAAUUGGUAGGCAAUAAGUAUUAAAUAUUGACUAUAAAGAAAGUUAGAGGAUAUGAGAGUGAUAUUACCGGAAGCAUAUGGCUUAACCUUGAAUAUGUCACCAAACAUCAAGUUGAUGCAAUGAGCGGCACAUGGAGUCCAAUAAAUGUGUGGGUAUGCACCCAUCAUCAUGCUUCCCGCUUUAACAUUCUCACUAGCAUUAUCAGUGACAAUUUGUACAACAUUUUUCGGUCCAAUUCUGUCAAUAGCAGUGUUUAGGAUGGCGAGAGGCGACAAAAGGCGACAAGGGCCUGCCUCGCCACGCGGCGAGGCGAGCGGCGAGGCGAUCGCCUUUUUGAAUCAAGGCGCCAAUUAAUACCAAAAAUUAAAAAUAUUUAAUUGCAUAUAUAAAUAUCCAAAAUCUCAAUAGCAAUAACAUAUAUUAGCAAAUAUUUCAAUUCAAAAACAAAAAGUAGAUACUAAAAGUCUAGAACUUUAAAGACCCAAUAAUUCAAAAGAUAAUACUAGAACUCUAAAAGUCUAUUAUUCUUCAAAACUAUCCAACUCUUGAAGAUCAACAUCCUCUACAUCAUUAUAUUGCUCCUCAUCUUCUUCCUCCUCGUAGUCUUCAUCAAUUAGUGUCCGAGUCCUACUUGAAGUUGAACUUAUAGAUGAAGUUUCUACUCCUUUGCCCUUGUCAAGUGCUCCUGAUCUUGAAGAAAGUCCCCUAAGAUGAUAUAUAUUCUCAUCAGCUCCAAUUGCCGUAGCAACACUACCCCAAGUAAGAUAAUCAUCCUCAUAUACUAGUUCAUCUUCUUGAUCUUCGGGGCAUCCAACUAACCAUUCAUUUGAAUCAUCAAUGUUAUCCAAGCGAAUUGGAUCAAUGAGAUCACGAGCAUCAUAACGAUGUUUCAAUGUUCUAUUGUACUUAAUGUACACUAGAUCAUUGAGACGCGAUAGUGCAAAGCCUAUUCCUCUUUUUGAAAUGAAUCUACACAUAAGUUACAGAUAUUAACUAAUAGAUAUUGAUAAUAAUAUAAUAUGGAAAUUAGGAUAUAAUUUUUUUACUUACGUGUUCAAACACACUCCAAUUUCGCUCACAUCCGGAUGAGCUACAAGUUAGGCUUAAUACUUUCAUGGCAAACUUUUGCAAGUUUGGUGUUUCACUAUCAAUUAGUGACCACCAUUCAACUAUAAUAAAAUAAAUUUAAAGGUUAAUGAGUAUAAAUAAGUCAAAUAAUUUGAGAGCUAAAUCAACUCACUUACCCGGUGACCUUGUGUCUCUAGCUCUUUUAGCCGGACCACAACCAAAUAGUCCACGCGCCAUUUUGUUUGGUCUGACCACCUUGUAUAAAUAAUUCCAAACACUUUCUCAUAUUGUUUCUUAAUUCCACGAAAACCACGUUCAAUAGUUUCUUUGGCUCUAUCCAUUGCUUCAUAAAUAUAGCCCAUUGGUGGUUUUUUCUCCCCAUCCACCAAACGAAGCACUUUUGUCAAAGGGCCACAAACUGUAAGUGCUCGAACAACAUCAUCCCAAAAGUGGGCAGAAAUAAUAAGAUUGGCAACAUCUUUACCGAAAGUUUCCUUUGCAAAUUUACUUGAAGUCCAUUCGGUUGAGAGGACUAAAGUUCUCAAGUUUUUUCUUUGUAUGUACAUAGCUCUCAAAGUUAAGAACGCCGUUGCAAAUCUUGUCUUGGCCAGUUUCACCAAAUUUCUUUCCUUGGUGAAUUUUCUCAUCAAGUUUAACAACAAUGGCCUUUGACUAAUGUAAGAAUGGAUUCUGAUGGCUUUCUUAAAAACUGUUAAGGUAAGAUUAUAGUAAUUAGUAGCUAAUAAGUAUUAAAUAUUGACUAUAAAGAAAGUUAGAGGAUAUGAGAGUGAUAUUACCGGAAGCAUAUGGCUUAACCUUGAAUAUGUCACCAAACAUCAAGUUGAUGCAAUGAGCGGCACAUGGAGUCCAAUAAAUGUGUGGGUAUGCACCCAUCAUCAUGCUUCCCGCUUUAACAUUCUCACUAGCAUUAUCAGUGACAAUUUGUACACCAUUUUCCG